rnacentral:rRNA from 1 species
GACGAACCGUGCGAACGUUGUUCGGAAUCACUGGGCUUAAAGGGCGCGUAGGCGGGUGUGCAAGUCUGUGGUGAAAGCCUCCAGCUUAACUGGAGAAGUGCCAUGGAUACUGCACAUCUUGAGGAGGGUAGGGGCAUCUGGAACGGUCGGUGGAGCGGUGAAAUGCGUUGAUAUCGACCGGAACUCCGGUGGCGAAGGCGAGGUGCUGGACCAUUUCUGACGCUGAGGCGCGAAAGCCAGGGGAGCAAACGGG